CAAGAUCGGAGGCAGUUUAGCUCGAAUCUUGUUGAAAGUCAGAUGCUUUUGGCAGUUUUGAGCUCGUACUCUUGGCAUUAACAAAAUGUCGAUUUGUGAUCUUUUUCAAAACGGCCAUUACUCAUACAUCCGUACGUUACAUAUUCGUCGAAGGCAACGAAAUGGUUAUGAGAAUUCAGGUCACGUGUUUCUAGUUUGAUUUAUAUAGAAGGCACUAAGGACAACCACCUGAUAAGAAUCACGUGCUUAUUGUGCUCUGUAUUUUAUUCUUAAGCAUUACUCUAUAUUCGUGUGGUUGUUAUUACUGGCUAAGUGAACUUAAAGGAGAUUAUUGAAUAGAAGUGCAAGUGAAAAUUACCGAAUAUAUUCGCCUCCAUUGUAUUUUAUAAUCGGCAGCAUAAAUCUGACCAGGAUCUUUCCGCUUCCGCAGAAGAGGGCGCCACCAUACACGGAGAAGUAGUCGCUGGAGUGACGGGUGUGAACGUAUACUGCUAGUACAAAAAAAGUUCGUAGACGAAAAUCGACUCUGACGAAGUUAGCCAGACGAGCAUCAUAUACAUGCAGGAGUACAAUCAGACGAAACCUCCUGGAUAUUAACUCUCUGCAGUGCGUGUUCCACUAUUGUCGAUGAGCUGCACAAAAAAAGUUAGAUUUCCACGGGAGUUGUGAGUGCAGCGAACAUCUUCGCCCAGCUAAGCGUUCUAUCUGCGUCUUACAGGUUCAUUUUCAGGAAUCGACUAUCCUAUCAAGGCACGUUGCUCGAUCUACGAUCCUCUCUGUGAUCAAACAAGGACAAGUGCACUGAACCAAGUCGCAACGGUAGAGCACUGAAUCACUACCGUAGGAACAUUGUGCCUGCGUUCAUCAAACGUUUCAUAUUCGAGAACGGUUGCCUCGGCCUACCGAAAGACCAGUCGGCCGUAUAGUGGAAUUAAGCAAACCACUCGUAACGACCUGCGACGCGCUGGAGACACGAACAUAUACGAAAAAAGAUGGCGUACAUCGUGUUAAUCUUCGUCACUAAUAUCCAGAACUAUGAUACUGCAAACAAAAAGUGUUUCUAGUCGUCCUGUGCGGGCAUUUCGUAGUAACGACAUUGGCAACGAUUUUAUGGAUAGUUAUGAUGGAUUACAGCACAGACAAGUGUAAUACAAAAUUUAUUUCAUCACCCUAUAUCUAGGCCGAUUCGCAAUGGAAAACCGUGAUACUAUGAUCUACGUUACACUCUACGGCAUAACACCAAACGACAGUAGUUGGCUGAGACUUACUAUUGUGGAUUGAGUGCUGAAUAAAACGAGGAAAGAUAAUUUCUAUAAAUCCGGUCAAAUGGAGACGCGUCUCCACUACUCGUUCAUUCCUAACGAGGCAGUUAAUUUCAUAUCGAGCAUAUAGUGAAUCUGCGUAAAAGACGAAUUUAAGCCGUUAAAAAGGUCGAGUCAAAGUUAGAUACUUUGAACUUUUAUACCACUUAAAUGGUGGUUCUCCAUGAAGAUUUUCCAGAAGCCCAUAAGCCUGUUCUGACUUUCGUGUGUGAAAAACAUUUUUUCAGUUGAGGCUCCGAGGGCGGAUGCUUCUGAUGAACGUCUGUUAUAUUCCAUCUUCUGCUAGAAGUUGGAAAGGGAAGUCUGACUCGAUAGAAUUUUCUUAGUUUAAAGAUGGAACUUUAGAUAUCAGAAUUCAAAAAUCGAGCUUCUCUAUUAAUCCUAGUAACUGUUACCGGUGACGAGAAGCGAUGUCUGUACGUCAAAUUAGAGCACGAAGAUCAAUCGGUCGCCGUUUGAAAUGAGCUCAAGCUCGUAGUUACACAGGUCUUUUUUCAAAAAGGAUCAUGACAUUACCUUUGGAGCGGUUGUAUACAGAAAAAAAAAAGCCCUAGAAACAAGGUGGUCAUUCCGUUUCACAAUAAUAUUAAACUACACAUCGGAAAGACCGUAUGAUCAAGUUGCAGCAAGUACAUCAAACUAAUUCGAUGUCACAAUUCGAGCAAAACGCGCGGACAUUUGUUUCGUACAGUUGAGAACGAAAAAUUAAGCCAGUAAACUAUUAACACAAAUGAUU
rnacentral:lncRNA from 1 species